AUGUUAAGUAACUUUAUACACAUCCCAUCGGUGCAACAUCCAAUUUACUUCGCUGUACCAACUAACAUAUUUCCCUUUUUAUUAUCAAGGGUCCCAAUGCAACAAUUUCCAACUCAAAGGAAUAGUACCGUGAGGGAACUCUUCUGUUGUUUCUUUAUCAGUUAUAAAGAAGGUUUCCCAAUGAAACUGUUCUGCUGGUUCCCCAAUGAUAGUUGUGGCAUUACUUUCAGUUGUAAAGAAGGUCUAAGGCUGCAGAAUAAGUUUGUAAAGAAGCUCAAACAUGCUUCUAUACUCAUACUUUUCUUGGAUUUUCAACUGUUUUAA
rnacentral:rRNA from 1 species